GAUGAACGCUCGCGGCAGGCCUAAUACAUGCAAGCCGAACGGCAAGUUUGAUAGCAAUAUUGGACCUAGAGUGGCGCAAGGGUGCGUAACACGUAUGCAACCUGCCCGCGACAGGAGGAUAGCUCCCCGAAAGGGGAAUUAACCCUCCAUAACACCAUGAGAAGGCAUCUGAUUAUGGUUAAACCGCAAGGGGUCGCGGAUGGGCAUGCGGUUGAUUAGCUAGUUGGCGGGGUAAAGGCCCACCAAGGCGGUGAUCAAUAGGGGGUCUGAGAGGAAGGUCCCCGACACUGGCACUGAGAUACGGGCCAGACUCCUACGGGAGGCAGCAGUAGGGAAUAUUGGACAAUGGUUGCAAGACUGAUCCAGCCAUGCCGCGUGCAGGAAGAAGGCCUUCUGGGCUGUAAACUGAUUUUUCCUGUGGAUAAAAUACCCGUGCGCGGGGAAUUGAAGGUAACAGGGGAAUAAGCCACGGCUAACUACGUG
rnacentral:rRNA from 1 species